rnacentral:rRNA from 1 species
UGGGGAAUCUUCCGCAAUGGACGAAAGUCUGACGGAGCAACGCCGCGUGUAUGAUGAAGGUCUUCGGAUUGUAAAGUACUGUCAUUGGGGAAGAACGGUUUUCUUGAAAGAUUGAGAAGACAUGACGGUACCCAAGGAGGAAGCCCCGGCUAACUACGUGCCAGCAGCCGCGGUAAUACGUAGGGGGCAAGCGUUGUCCGGAAUUAUUGGGCGUAAAGGGCGCGUAGGCGGGCCUUUAAGUCCGGUGUGAAAGAUCAGGGCUCAACCCUGAGAGUGCAUCGGAAACUGGAGGCCUUGAGGACAGGAGAGGAAAGUGGAAUUCCACGUGUAGCGGUGAAAUGCGUAGAUAUGUGGAGGAACACCAGUGGCGAAGGCGACUUUCUGGACUGUAACUGACGCUGAGGCGCGAAAGCGUGGGGAGCAAACAGGAUUAGAUACCCUGGUAGUCCACGCCGUAAACGAUGAGUGCUAGGUGUAGAGGGUAUCGACCCCUUCUGUGCCGCAGUUAACACAAUAAGCACUCCCGCCUGGGGAGUACGGCCGCAAGGUUGAAACUUAAAUGAAUUGACGGGGUCAUAGCUG